AGAGCUGUAAGUAAUGCCAUAAAAAAUAAUUUCCCUUUUUUUUUAAUUGGCCAAUAAUUUCCCCCAAAAUAUUUUCUCUCCCAUUUUCCCUAAAACCCCCAAAUCGAUUGACAGCUUUUUCCAAAAUCUUGUUCAUUCCAGCGGGAGUGCAUUUGCUGGAAGAUCUCAAGUACAUCCAUUUUGUUUUGAUUUUUAGUGUGUUCAUGACCUGUUAUUUUGGAUUCAGCUUGUAUACACUAACAAUAUAAGCGAUUGGCACUCCGGCCGACCAUUGCUACUCUGGUCGACCAUUGCUGUUCCAGUCAGUCAUUGCUACUCUGGUCGGCUAGCUAAGUUGCACUACUACCCUCUGGUUUCUCUCUUUUUGUGGUUUAAAGACGAGUCCUUUCUGGUCCUUUAUCACAAAUUGCUUUCCUAGGGCCUUAUUUGCAGAAUACAUUUUGAUGUAGAGUUUGUGAAUCGAGACUAUGGUAGAGUAUCAAUGGUGUUAGCCAUAAUAUUGAAAAUGAAUGAGUGAAAGUAAUUUGUAUUAAUAGGAGCAAGAUAUGUUGAAUGGAACAAAGAUAGUUGUAAUGAGGACUAAAGGUACUUCUCCGGUUAGGUGUGUUUGGUAUUAACUAAAGAUUGAUAAUAGCCUUAGCUAAUUGGAUUAUAUUUUGAUGAUGUUAUUGAGUAUUAAUAGUUGAUAAUAUAAUCUAAGCACUGGUUGGAGCGAGCGAUAUGGAGUAAGAGUUGAAGUAGUAGUUAAAGAAAAUUACUUGUAUCUCAUAAGCGAGAAAACGUUUCAUUUCCUCAAUAGGUUUACCAACUUAGGUUCUGUUUUUUAUGGUUUUCCAAAUCUUACUUCUCUUGACCUUUCACAUAAUAAUCUCAAGAUUUUGCGUUUUUGAUUUACCAACCAAACUAAGCUUGAAAAUUUGAGCAUUUCUAGUUGUAACAUUUAUGGUAAUCCAGAACCAAUUUCACACAUCAAAUCACUUAAGCAUUUAGAUGUUUCUGUCAACCAUAUGAAUGGUAAAUUUCCCAAUGAUUUUCCUCCUCUUUCUAGUCUUGAUUUCUUGAAUAUCUCAUUCAACAACUUCACUGGUGUAGUACCUCAAGACCAGUAUGCAAAAUUUGGCAACUCUUCUUUCAUUUAUGUUGGGAAGGUCUCGUGCACGCUACUCUCUUGGUGUCUUGUUGAGGGGUAAGGUCUCGUACACACUACCCUCUUGGUACCUUGUUGUUGAACAAAUGAUUAGAUUUGCCUACAAUGAACCUUUGGUAGCUGAGGAAUGGCUUCAAGAAAUUAAUUUGGAGUGCUAUCCAUAGAAAAAAUUGUUGGUAUCUACUUGUACUGCUGUAUUCGACAUUGUUAUUUACUUUGUGAAUCAAUCAAGGUGAUUUUUGUGCCCAGAAGCUUAUGUUAUUCGGAUUCUCAAACAUGUUGUUGGGGGUGUGUCGGAAUCGUCAAAAGAUUAAUGGUUUUUGAGAAACAGAUAUAGAUGUAGUGACAUUUUUUAGAGUCCGAGCAACAUAGUUGAAAACAGUCUUUGAGUUUCACAUGUUAGCAUACAGGAACCUAACGCCAUACACUUUUUGGGGUCAUCGCAACAUACUGUAUUUGUAUAACAGUAUUGAUAGAUCUUCGGCUUUUGAAUUUGGAUUUAGGCUCAAGUAUCCACAUAAUAAUCUAAUGGUUUCUUUUCCCAGACUAAUGGAAGAGUAGAUUAAGUAUUCUAGAUAUUGUUUGUUGCUGAUGAGUCUCUUGCUGUUCUUUAUAGAAAAACUGUGAUGUGCUUUAUGCAUACUGUCAGCCGAAGCGUUCUGAUUAUGGACUGCCUGAGGAUAAAUUCUUAUUUGCAUGUUUUAAUCAGCUUGGCAAGAUGGAUCCUGAGAUUUUUAUGACAUGGUGCAAUAUCCUUAAGCGUGUACCAAAUAGUGCUCUUUGGCUUGUCAGAUUUCCAGCUGCAGCAGAGAAGAGGCUUUGCGCAUAUAAGUGUUUUCUUCCACUCAGUGCAUUUCUCUGAUAUUCUCGUGUGACUUGUUGGUUUAUAUGAAUUCUAGCUAAUUCAGCUUGCUUAUACAGAUGCUGCUACACAAGGCCUGCUACCAGAUCAAAUUAUCUUCACAGAUGUUGCAAUGAAACAAGAGCACAUCUCCUUGGCUAAUCUUUUCCUUGACACGUAACACUUUCCGUACUACUUACUGCUGCCGGAGUUCUUAUCGCAGCUCUUGGAGAUUUUUCAUUUGAUCUCUUUGGAUACAGUUUGGCCUUUAUUUCUGUUUUCUUCCAGACCAUGUACCUUGUGUUGGUUGAGAAGUCAGGAGCAGACGAUGGGCUUUCGUCGAAUGCGAUCAUGUUUUACAACAGUUUCUUAUCUUUGCCAUUUUUGCUAUUCCUCAUCAUAACCACAGGAGAAUUUCCAAAUUCUUUAUCUAUUUUAUUUGCAAGCUAAGUGAUGCGGCUGGUGGACCCAUUUCACCCAUGGAUGCAAGGAGAUCAUGUUGUGAUUAUGAUCCUAAUGACAUUGUUUGAUUUUGUUGCAUUUGUCUUGGAUAUUCAAUUAUGACGAUGUAAUUGUGUGGUUGGAGUGAAUAUUUGAUUUUGGAGUUUGAAGAUACUAGUUAAUGUUGAAAAUUUGGAGUUUGAA